UACGGAGGGUGCAAGCGUUAUCCGGAUUUACUGGGCUUAAAGGGUGCGUAGGUGGGUUGGGAAGUCAGUGGUGAAAUACUUUCGCUUAACGAAGGAACUGCCAUUGAUACUAUCAAUCUUGAAUGUAGUGGAGGUAGGCGGAAUGCGUCAUGUAGCGGUGAAAUGCUUAGAUAUGACGCAGAACACCAAUUGCGAAGGCAGCUUGCUACACUACUAUUGACACUGAGGCACGAAAGCGUGGGGAGCAAACAGG
rnacentral:rRNA from 1 species